ACACUGCUGAGGAGUCCCGUAAUAGGACGAAACGGCCGUCCAGUGC
rfam:Schistosoma mansoni, Puerto Rico, WGS project CABG01000000 data, contig: 0077